GUGAAGUCUUUGACUAAUUGUGUGUGUUUAGAAAUGUGUUAUUGUACAGAAAAGCAUUCAUGAAUUCCCAUUUUUGUUAUUUUAUCUCGUAAAUUGCCGUUUUCAAAAAAUGGUACCCUUUUCUGUGACUGAAUUGUAAUGGUUCAAUUGUCAAACAUAAGGUGACUUUGGGGACCUCACAUGGGGAUUCUUCACCAAAAUUAUUUUUGUUUUUCAGUAUGUCAAACUAGUAUUGCUUCAAGUAGAUACAACCAAAUUGCAGCAUUGGUGUUGACUGCACUCAUUCA
rnacentral:misc_RNA from 1 species